rnacentral:rRNA from 1 species
UACGGAGGGUGCGAGCGUUGUCCGGAAUCAUUGGGCGUAAAGAGCGUGUAGGCGGUCCGGUAAGUCAGCUGUGAAAGUCAAGGGCUCAACCCUUGAAUGCCGGUUGAUACUGUCGGGCUAGAGUCCGGAAGAGGCGAGUGGAAUUCCCGGUGUAGCGGUGAAAUGCGCAGAUAUCGGGAGGAACACCAAUGGCGAAGGCAGCUCGCUGGGACGGUACUGACGCUGAGACGCGAAAGCGUGGGGAGCAAACAGG